rnacentral:tRNA from 1 species
GCAUGAUCCUACCUAGUGGUGGGUCGAGGCUUCAAACCUCGGGGGGCUUAGCGGCCCCGGGUU